CCCCGUCCCCUGCUGCAGCUCCCGCAGGGAAGGGGCAGCAGCCUGCGGACCGCAGCCCUCAGCCAGCUGGUGCUCUGCAGGAAAAUUCAUACUCCCCAUCAGCGGCUGCCUUGCCAAAGAAAUAAACUGCUGCUCAGGCGGUAGAAGUCUCUCUAUGCCGCCCUCCUGAGGCAAGGGAGAACCUUUCCAACCUCAGAGUGUAAGUGGAAGAAGCACGAAAUCAUCUUAAGUUGAUAAGUACUGAAAAUACUCAGGGAAAAAGGCUUGAAGGCAAGUACCAACCGAGGAUGGAAGAGGCAAGAUGGAUACCAUUGUCGUGAUCCUGAGGAGGCUCCUCUGGGGUUUGGUGAAGUGGCCGAGAGGGAGCGGGUUGCCAGCCACGAGCUGACACUGGGCAGACAGCACAGCUUGGUCCUUCCUGGCAGGGUCACAUCGAGCAGGGAAGAGGCUUUGGAAACCCAACAGGCAGCCUGGCUCCUGCUGUCAGUGAAAAUACUGCAAAAAGCUCCUACUUCCUCAUGUGAUGAACAGACCUCUCUUGGGUAAUCCCUUGAACUGAGGAAGGUGUUGCAGAAACCUGAGUCAUAAUAUACACUCCUUGCUAUGUUGGACAGUGGACGCCAAUGGGAAAGGGGCAUUAACAACAGCACUGUAUGUACAAACAGAGGUGUUUAACAUACAGCCUGCUUGGAAGGGUUUCAUAAUUCCCUCACUCCUUAUAUUAACUUGUUCACUGGGGACAUUUAAUUCCUCUGGAAACUUCAGAGCAAAAGGAUUUGAAAUUAACAAAUACUGCAAGUGUAAUGACUUCUAUGCAUCAAAAUGGAUCCAGACUUGCCUAUUACUUCAGGGUC